GCUGCAUGGUCCAGUGGGACACUUUAUAGUCCUGAGAGGUGCACUCUGGAGCACUGGCAGCUGUCCUUCAUGACAACACAAGCCACAUACGGCCUCCUCAUCACCAACAUGACUUUGGUGUGCGUCCUCAUGUGGACUGUCCUCUGCUGCUGCUUCACAGAGUCCAGAGGAGAGGUGACAGUGAGUCAGGCUGGAGCAGUGAGGGCCGCCCUGGGGGACACCGCCACCAUACGCUGUACUGUCAGCCAGAAUGUGUACUAUGAGAGUACAUAUGGGCACAGGUUACACUGGUACCAACAGAGAGAUGGAGAGCCUCCUAAACUUCUUAUAUAUCUUGCAUCUACUCGAGUCUCAGGUGUCCCCAGUCGUUUUUCAGGCAGUGGAUCUGGGUCUGACUUCACUCUGACCAUCAGUGGAGUUCAGCCUGAAGAUUACACUGUGUAUUACUGUCAGAGUUAUCACUACAUCAACAGUCAGUGGGUGUUCACACAGUGAAAAAGACUCGUACAAAAACCUC